rnacentral:rRNA from 1 species
GACGAACGCUGGCGGCGUGCUUAACACAUGCAAGUCGAACGGAAAGGCCCUGCAUUUGUGGGGUGCUCGAGCGGCGAACGGGUGAGUAACACGUGAGUAGCCUGCCCUUGGCUUUGGGAUAACUUCAGGAAACUGGGGCUAAUACCGGAUAGGAGCUUCUCCUGCACGGUGGGGGUUGGAAAGUUUCGGCGGUUGGGGAUGGACUCGCGGCUUAUCAGCUUGUUGGUGGGGUAGUGGCUUACCCAGGCUUUGCCGGAUAGCCGGCCUGGGAGGGUGACCGGCCACAUUGGGACUGAGAUACGGCGCAGAGUGGUACGUGGGGCAGUAGGGGGGAAUAUUACGCAGUGGGGGGAAGCCUAUGACAGCGACGCCGGGUGCGGAAAGACGGCCCAGGGGUUGGAAACGGCUUUCGGCUGAGACGCGGCGUGAUUGACGGUAAUGGGUAAAGAAGCACCGGCUAACUACGUG